UCACAUGGAAGUAGGUGCUCAGGAUAGCUGCUGGAAUUGUUAUAUUGCAGAAGGCAAAAAUCAAUUUUAUAAUAGGGGGAUUGUUCUCAUACUGCUCCUUCAUGCCCAUCUCAGAACAAACACAAUCUGCAUUCAGAACAGGACCAUUUACAAGUUCAAUGGAGUUAUUUUGGGGAACUUGCUAGAAAGCUGUUGAAACCACUGAGGUAGAAGAAGAAGAAACUGGACAAAUAAACUACAAUUCUUUAUCUUGGCUCUAUUCAACCUUGUCCCUAUUGACCAGUCUUUGAGGAAAAAGUAUCUAGCACCAAACUAAUAGAGAAUGUCAAGUAAGAUUUUCUUUCAAACUGUAUUCAUGUCUUGAAUUUAGUAGGUCAUCAAUGUUUUUAUUUGGUUUAAUUAAGCAAAAUAAGGAAAAAUGAGUAAAUAAAGGUAAUGCUCAGAAGAUAUAGAAUGAGUUUUUGGGCUAGAAGCCACCCAUUAAGCUCUUACUAUUGAUAAGGCCUGCAAGAAUUAUGUACAGUCAUAAAAAGACACUUGAAAGUUGGUUGCAUAAGCCUUUUUAGAAAAAUGUUGAGUUUGGGGUCUUUAAAGAAAAGAUCUCAUUAUUUUUCAAUAGUUCAAAUACUUCAAAAUAAAAACUAAAAGCAAAGCAUUCUGACAGUUAAAAUGUAGUUUCAUUAAAAAAAAAAACUCUAAAUUUACUAUACAUUUGUGUUUCAUUUAUCUACAUCAGUUCUUUAUUUUAUUCUCCAAAUUAAAUUGCCCUGAAA